AACACGUAGUCAACCUUUCCAGGGGACGUGGAUAAUCUCGGGAAACUGAGAAUAAACCACGAUGGGUCACGAUUUCUGGAAUGGAUCAUGGCUUAAAUCUACAUGGCCCCUGGAUUGGACUGCGGCCGAUCAGGCUGUUGGUGAGGUAAUGGCCCACCAAACCUAUAACCGGUACGGGCUCUGAGAGGAGGAGCCCGGAGAUGGGCACUGAGACAAGGGCCCAGGCCCUAUGGGGCGCAGCAGGCGCGAAACCUCUGCAAUAGGCGAAAGCCUGACAGGGUUACUCUGAGUGAUUUCCGCUAAGGGGAUCUUUUGGCACCUCUAAAAAUGGUGCAGAAUAAGGGGUGGGCAAGUCUGGUGUCAGCCGCCGCGGUAAUACCAGCACCCCGAGUGGUCGGGACGAUUAUUGGGCCUAAAGCAUCCGUAGCCGGUUCUGCAAGUCCUCCGUUAAAUCCAGCCGCUCAACGGAUGGGCCGCGGAGGAUACUAUAGGACUAGGAGGCGGGAGAGGCAAGCGGUACUCAGUGGGUAGGGGUAAAAUCCUUUGAUCCAUUGAAGA
rnacentral:rRNA from 1 species